GCGUACUUCAGAACUUUCUUUGCAUUUCUCAAAAUCCCAAAUCGAUAAACCCUAAUCCCAAUUCUCUCAUUUCCUCCCUUCAUUCACUCUCUAAAUUCUCAAUUUCCACUGCAUAAUAGAUUUUGAUUCGCUAUUCUGUUCGAUCACUCUUCCGUUUUUAUUCCAUUCAGUUCAAUUACCAUGUUGUUGAUAGGUGCUCAAAUAUAUUGAAAGUGAUUGGAAAAAGUUCAUAGUUGCUGGAGACGUAACUGUUGACAAAAUUAGGACAAACCAUUUUAGAGAGGUUGUGAAUUGGGUGUUGAGUAGUGAUGGAUGACCCGUUUGAUUCUUCGUUUAAUUUGGAGGAGACCCAUUUGAAGGAAGGCUAUGAUGAAGGUUACAGUCAUGGCCUUGAUGCCGGCAGGGAAGAGGGGAAGCAGGUUGGGCUCAAAGUUGGUUUUGAGGUCGGUGAGGAACUCGGAUUCUACAGCGGCUGCAUCCACAUCUGGACAUCUGCCAUCCAGAUUGAUCCGACUUGCUUCUCUUCCCGGGCCAAAACUACCAUCACCCAGAUGCAAGAAUUGAUCCAAAAAUACCCUUUGAUGGAUCCGGAAGAUCUACAAGUGCAAGAGAUAAUGGAUAGCCUCAGGCUCAAGUUCAAGAUGCUUUGUUCUUCACUGCAUGUCAAACUCCACUAUAAUGGCUAUCCUGGUGAGGCCAAUGUCACUCAGUUUUGAACCAGAUUUUGUAUUUUACUCUGUUCCCAUUUCAAAGGUAAAAAUUUUGCUUGAGUUAUAGAAUAAAGGCUUAAAUAUGUAUUUGAUCCUUGCAAUUAGGGGUCGUUUAAAAAUUGGUCCCUGCAUUCGCUAAUCCUUGCAAACUAGCUUUGCAAUCAUUAAUCAUUUAAAAUUUCGUCCUUUGACCCGAUUAAUGACUGCCACAUCACGUAAUUACUGACGAGUCUAUGUUAAAUGGCCCAUACGCACGCGAAAUGACCAAAAUGCCCUUCUUCUUCUUCUUCUCUCUACUAGAGAUCUGUUCAACCUCUUCUCUAUUUCUCAAAAAACUUCAUUUCAUCUUUCUCUUUCACUCUCAAAAAUCCAGUUUUUUUUAUCAAAUUCGCAAAUCCACAAAUUUACAGAAAUUCGAAUUCUGGGUUGGGGUUAGGGUAAAAAAAAUUCAGCGAAUUCUGGAUUGGGGUUGGCACAAAUUCCGCCGGUGACGUUACCACCACCGUCGUCGUCAUCUCCGGCGCUCUUCAGGUUUGGUUUGUUGGGGUUUCAGCUGUCAUGCCCCUUCCAUCUUUCUUCUCAAUCAAUUUCUUGCUGAGAAGAAGAACCUUGAUGAUUUGAUUUGAUAUUGAAUGCCACUGGAGGUGGUGCUCCGGUUUCUGUUUCGGCCCCAAUUGCUGUUGUUGCCUCCACUGCAGUUGCUGCUCCUACCGAGGAGAAGAAGGAAGAACCUAAGGAUGAGAGUGACGAUGACAUGGGAUUCAACUUGUUUGAUUAGAAGCACUUUUAGUAUGAUCUUUUCUGAUUUUUGUACUCGUAUUGGGGUAGUUACUUGGUGGAAUUCCUUUUUUUGGGACUCAAUUUUAUUUUGAUUGCAUUAUUUGCUCAAGAUUUUGUUGUGCUUUUGAGUUUAAUUUGAGUUGAAUUGUUGAAGGUUUUAAUUCCACUGAGAUUUGAAUUUUUUUUCUCUGCCAUGAAUGAAAAUUGCUGAAGGUUUUUGGACUGGGAAUGGUAGGAGGAGAAAGAUGAAAGAGUGUUUUGGUUGAAGAUGAAUUUAAGGGUAAAUUGGUCAUUUCGCGUGCGUAUGGGCAAAUCAUCAGUGCCACCUCAUCAGAUUAGUGACGUGGCAGUGAUUAACUGGGGAGAGGGACGAAAUUUUAAAUGAUUAAUGAUUGCAAGGCUAGUUUGCAAGGAUUAGCGAAUACAGGGACCAAUUUUUAAACGACCCCUAAUUGCAAGGAUCAAAUACAUAUUUAAGCCUAGAAUAAAUAAAGUUUGAUAUGUAACUUGCAGUAUUGAAUACUUCACCAUAGGUAUAAUUAACAUUUAUUGUUCAUGUACGUAAGAUAUCAACCUCUUAGCUUUGUAAAUCAAAAUUUUGAUGUCAGAUACUCUCUUUUUUUUUGGUACAAUGAUGUCGAAUACAUUUCGUUUGA